rnacentral:lncRNA from 1 species
UUUUCUUCCGGCCCAAGCACCACCUUCCCUCGCGGCCCAAUGCCAGUAGCUUCACCGACCGUUUUCCCCUCGCCCGCCCGUCUUGCUUGCCCGGCCCAGCUUUCCUCGCCCGCUCGGCCCACCUCUCCUUCCUCCGCAGCCCGCGAAGCAGCGCGGCCCGCUCCCUUCCACUGGUCUGACGGGUGGGGCCCACCCGUCAUCCCCGUCCUCCGGUCGUAUCCGGCCGGGACUUCCUCCCCUGACCGCGCCGGACUCCGCCCGCCUCCCGCAACCGCCGCGCGAGUUCCCCGCGCGGGAUCUGCCCCUACCCUUAUCCCGC